CAACAGGGAUUGCCUCAGUAACGGCGAGUGAAGCGGCAACAGCUCAAAUUUGAAAUCUGGCCCUAGGCCCGAGUUGUAAUUUGCAGAGGAUGCUUUUGGUGCGGUGCCUUCCAAGUUCCCUAGAACGGGACGCCAGAGAGGGUGAGAGCCCCGUACAGUUGGACACCAAGCCUUUGUAAAGCUCCUUCGACGAGUCGAGUAGUUUGGGAAUGCUGCUCAAAAUGGGAGGUAUAUUUCUUCUAAAGCUAAAUACCGGCCAGAGACCGAUAGCGCACAAGUAGAGUGAUCGAAAGAUGAAAAGCACUUUGAAAAGAGGGUUAAACAGCACGUGAAAUUGUUAAAAGGGAAGCGCUUGUGACCAGACUUGCGUCCGGUGAAUCACCCAGCUCUCGCGGCUGGGGCACUUCGCCGGCUCAGGCCAGCAUCAGCUCGCUGUCGGGGACAAAAGCUUCAGGAACGUAGCUCUCUUCGGGGAGUGUUAUAGCCUGUUGCAUAAUACCCUUCGGCGGGCUGAGGUACGCGCUCCGCAAGGAUGCUGGCAUAAUGGUCAUCAGCGACCCGUCUUGAAACACGGACCAAGGAGUCAACCUUAUGUGCGAGUGUUCGGGUGUCAAACCCCUACGCGUAAUGAAAGUGAACGCAGGUGAGAGCUUCGGCGCAUCAUCGACCGAUCCUGAUGUUCUCGGAUGGAUUUGAGUAAGAGCAUAUAGGGUUGGACCCGAAAGAAGGUGAACUAUGCGUGUAUAGGGUGAAGCCAGAGGAAACUCUGGUGGAGGCUCGCAGCGGUUCUGACGUGCAAAUCGAUCGUCAAAUAUGCGCAUGGGGGCGAAAGACUAAUCGAA
rnacentral:rRNA from 1 species